AGUCUAAACUGGACUAAUCCUCAAAUCACAAGGUAUCUGUCCUCUUUAAGUGCUGUCUUGCUUGUGAAGAAGUGAGAAUGGACAAUUGUGAGUUUGCUUAUAGUAGAGGAUCUAAUGUAUGAAGAUAAUUAACAGAGAUACAUACUUCUUCUAUUUAAUCAUUAAAUAACAGAUUAAAUUCUGCUUGCAAUUUUGUGCUUAUGUCUUGGCUCAAGUUACCCAUUGGAUUUUCUAUUUGAACAGGUCAACUCUCUUUUGCUUCCCUAUUUUGCUAUAUGUUUUGCAU
rnacentral:misc_RNA from 1 species